UACGUAGGGGGCGAGCGUUAUCCGGAUUUACUGGGUGUAAAGGGAGCGUAGACGGCCAUGCAAGCUCGGUGUGAAAGGUGCGGGCACAACCCGCAGACUGCACUGAGAACUGUAUGGCUGGAGUGCCGGUGGGGCAGGCGGAAUUCCUGGUGUAGCGGUGAAAUGCGUAGAUAUCAGGAGGAACACCGGUGGCGAAGGCGGCCUGCUGGACUGCAACUGACGUUGAGGCCCGAAAGCGUGGGGAGCAAACAGG
rnacentral:rRNA from 1 species